rnacentral:tRNA from 2 species
UCGUCUAGAGGCCUAGGACACCGCCCUUUCACGGCGGUAACAGGGGUUCGAAUCCCCUAGGGGACGCCA